rnacentral:lncRNA from 1 species
GUUAGUUUAGUGUGAUGAGGAGUUAAAUAAUGCUAUGUAAUCUUAAACCUGAGGCUGAGAAGGUUGAUUUGAGAUUUCCACCCAUUGCUUUUACAAUUUAAAAUUUUGUUUUAUUUUGCUGUUGCACGUUCUUGGUUGCAGCAGUUAAUGUCAGGUAUUGUCACUAUCCUGUAACUGAAAUUUAGUAUUUCCUUUAAAUGUGAGUCUAGGCAACAGAUCACAGUAGAAUUAGCUGAAAAUGUGAAUUUAUCACCUAUAAAAAUCUGGUAUUUUGGUAUAUCAUUACAGCUGUUGACGUUGUAGACUGCAGAUGUGGUGUAGCUGAGCACUUGGGUUGGCUCACUGCGAUUCCUUACCAUGCUCCUUGUGAGGUCCAGCAAUGUAUAGUUUUGUGGUCUGAUGCAUUUUGAUGGUUGCCAGAUAAAAUUGAUGUCUGGCACUUUUUCUAGGAAAAACACAUUUAGACGUUUCCAAGCUGAUUUGUAGGAACUUAGAGUUAUUAGAACUUUGUGGCAAAACUUUUUCUCAAGUGGCAGAAGAAAUAAAGGAACUUCAGUUUUGAGGGCUGUUAACAGCACCCUCUCUGACUGCCAAAGCUGAAAAAGUUGAAAGUACUGGAUUGUUAAUAUGGACUUUUCCACAAAAAUAAGCAAGGAUUUGGAUUUUUUUUUUCCACUGCAGGAAAAUACAAUGUUUGCUACCGACACAACACUGGUCCCCAAAUUAUUACAAAAAGGCACUUUUCCCUCUUUAUUAUCUAAUAACAUUUCCCACUCUGGUAACCUACUAUUCUGGGUUGAACCUUGAGGUUUGAUGGCUGUUUACUGUUCUUGCUGUUUUUUAAAGGCAGGGAGAGUGGAGGUUAGGAGAAACAGGUUUAUUGAAGAGUUAGCUUCCCAGUGGAGACAAGCAAAUCACAGUUCUUUCCUUCAUUCGUAUUAUAAAUAUUUGAAGAAAUAUUAUGAAGAAAUGAGAGAGAUUACCUGGUAAUAGGACGAGUUUUUUCUCUUUACACUUAACUUGCCUCUUCCUUAACACCACGGUCUGUGUGGCAGGUUUUUACUUGUUUGGCAGUGCAGUUAAGCCUCAGGAUACUGUUGAGCAAAAUGACGAUUUAAAAAAAGAAAUGCUUUCAGAAAUAUAUUUCCAAGUUUAAAGGGGUAAACAUGUGAGAUUUGGAAGAAGUAUGCAAGCUCCAGACUUUGAAAUUCAACUUUUUCAAAAGCCUUGACAUUCACUUGCCAGUGUCAUGAAGCCCAAGAAGAGAAAAACAAACAAAUAAAAAAAAAAAAACCCCAAAACUUUGAUGCUUACUAAAAGGCGGUACAAAACCGAGGCUCAGCACGAGACUGGAAGCGGCUUGACCUUGUUUUGCAUACACAAAAGCAGAAUGAAUUAGCCCGGGUAGAUAUUUCUAGGAACUAGUUAAGGGAGAAUGCAGAAGACCGGAGUGAGGGGGGGGGGAAAGUGAGUCUGCGGGGAGAGGAAUCUCACUUAUGGUUUCCAUUCUUUCCACUUGGAAAUGGUCAACCCGAGCUCCUGCAGGGGCUGGCUCUAGCGUCUCGGACGUGCGUCCUGGCUGUCCAGAGGGAAGGGAUCCGGGCGCCACUGGGCGAUGCAGCCGAAGUUCUUUGUUUGCUGCGGUGCUGGAGCCGGGAGCCCAAAGGGGCGGUGGCGUGGCAGCUCCUCCCAGGCGCGUCCGGACGCGGCGCGGGUCUCCCAGAACCUUAUGUAAGACGGCGUUGGAAGCAAGGGAACGUGGACAAACUGACCCAGGCGACGCGGUUGGUGUUGGAAGCGCACCAGAUCCGAGUGGUGUGGAGAGCCCCCGGCUGGGAUCAGCCUUUUGCUGUAGGGCUCCUGGGUUAACCUCUUCACGUGGCCGUCCUUAGCCGGCCUUGUAGGAGAAUGUGGCUAGGCUCUGUGGCUUCCACCGAGUGUCUCCUAGCAGAGCAUCCGUUUUGCAAAUUCAGGGUAAAUAAGACUUUUUUUUUUUUUUUAAUUUGCUAGUUUUUCAGUUAGAAUGAAAGCAAUAACAUGCUCACGGUUUAAAAUCUAGUCAGUUCAGAAGGGUACAAAGUACAGAACAAAAUUGCCAAACCCGUCUCCGAAGAUAACUAUUCUAAAUUUCUUUUUUUAAAUUCUUUCAGAAUGUUUUAAUUAAGCUUCUGUUUUAAUCGUGUUUUUUUUUUAAGCACACACAAAUAGUAUAGCACUAUACAUUCUGCUCUGAAAUUUGCUUUUUAAUUUGUUGUUUUGGAUCUCUUUCUCUCUGUAUACAGAUAUAUAGAUCUAUAUAUAUAUACAUGCAUUUCUCUAUAUAUACAUGUACAUCUUUAUACAUAUAGCUAUAUAGAUACACAUAGACAUAUAUAUACAUGUAUAUAAAUAAUAAAUUAAUUAUUUGCUAAUUAAUUGCCCUCAAAGAGCUUUAUAUACAUAUGCAUACUGAGAUAGAUAUACAUAUAUAUAUGUAGAUCAGUGUGUGUGUAUCUAUCUAUCUAUCUAUAUCUAUAGCUAUAUGUAUAAAGAUAUACAUGUAUGCAUACCUUUAUGGUAACUUAAAGCCCUCCCUAAUUCCUUUCAAUAGCUUCAUAAUAUUUCAUUGUAUGAAUGCAUUAUUAUUGAAUAAUCCCCUACCAGGGACAUUUAGGUCAUUUCCAAUUUGGUGUAGUCUAAACCUCUGUGUUAAGGCUGCUGUGUGCUUAUGGGAACAUAUAUGUUGAAUAAAUUCCUAGCAGUGAACUCUUUGGGUCAAAGGGUAGGUGCACUUAACAUGAUAAUGGGUAUUUCCAAAUUACAUUCUAAUUUAUUAUUUUGGGGUUAAUUAAAUUACCAUCUUUCAAGCUGUAAACAUAACAGAAUUUUCCUUAAAAUACUGUUCAUUUUUUUUUAAGAACUAUUUUUUAGUUGUAGAUGGACACAAUAUCUCUAUUUAUUUUUAUGUGAUGCUGAGGAUUGAACCCACUGCCUCACAGGAGUGAAGCAAGCAUUCUACCACUAAGCUAUAACCCCAGCCCAAAAUACUGUUAAUUUUUAAGCAGCAUAUUUAGUAAUGAGAUUAAAUAAGCUUGUUUAUUUGCUAAUUAAUGAUGGAGUUGACCUUCAAUAUUAUUGUACUUUCAUUUAUAUCUCUAUUCCAGAAAAAAUGUCUCUGGAGUAUUUAAUGCACUGCCAGGGCCUAUGGAACUAGCUGGAAGGCUGGCUGAGGGAGCAGCCUUGACAACCUCAGUUCCCGCAUGGCAUCACCGUGGACAUGCAGGGCGGUGGGGCAGACACAUGGCUUCAUGCCUUGUCUGUGGUUUCAAAGAACUGACACUCUUUAGAAACCCUAGAGUAGAAUUGGAGAAACAUUUUAAUAUGUAAUAAUAUCGUCUUCAAUUAGUUCUGUUCAAAAAACAUUAAACACAACUAGGUUGAUAAUUUCUCCUUUUCCAACGUCCCUACUCACUAUCUCUUUAUGCUAGUUUUCUGUCAUCUCAUUUUCACUCUCUGCUUCUUUUCAUACCCACCACGAAUCUAUCCUCUGCACUUAUUCUUGAUACCAGUUCUAGGAACAACAAAGUUGAUUUCCUACAACUCAAAUGUGAUUCUGGGGAGGGAAUAAGCUUUGGCCGUCGUUAUUGCCACAGUGAACUGACUGUUUCUAGAUCUGGUCCCCAAAGGGGUAUUUCAUCUGCUUCUGACUCCAAAAGCUUUAAUCAUUCCACCUACACAGAAAAUUUUAUCUUCCCAUUUUUUUUCAUUUAAAUUUUUAUAGAUAUAACUUACUGUAGGUGAAAUCAGAUACCAAGACAUAAAUCAAAUUCCAAAAAACUUGUGGUUCAAGUUACUAUUAAAUUGCUUCAUAAAUGAUCACAAUAGCACUCCAGAUUGCCUUUUAAGAUUAUAGCCUACUUUUCAGGAAGUUGACAAGUAUUUUAUUUCCUAAAUUGCCUGUUCACUUUCCUUGUUCACUGUCCUUGUUGUUCUAGACAGAAAAUGGCCCUUUCCAAAUCCAGCUCCUUCACUUUCAAAACUCAUCUUAAGCAAAGACUCAGUUACAUCAAAGCAGGGUCUGGGUGUUGGCAAAAAAAGGGAAAAAAAAAAAAAACAAGCAAACAAACUAAAAUAAAAUACAUUUCUCACUUAAGGUCUGAAUCUCCGUAGCUUUGUAAACCAUAUCAUACACAGAUUUAUGCCUUAAAAUAAAGAAAAUAAAUCAGUAGGCAUAGGAAGCCUGCCUUUGCAAAGCUCUUAAUUUCAAACAAGUGUUUCCAGUAAUGAUUUAGAAGCCAGCAGGAAGAGAGGAGGUGAAUGUGUUGUUGCAGGGUGUUGUCCCUAAAUAGCAUGUCCCUCACAACUGGCAGGAAGCACCUGGGGGAUUAUUUGCUUUAGAAAUUUGGAGAUAAAUCUUUUUUUUUAAAUAAGUGGAAAAUUAAUUGGUUUCUAACUUUCAGUGCCUUUAACAUUUAUAAAAAUAGUCUGAAUUCUGAUGGUAAUGGGUUCAAGGUAAUGAUAAUAAUAAUCUGAUAAUAAUAAUGCAAGUUAAGUAAAAUGCAUAUCAAUGUCAAGAUAAGAAGUUGAAAUUAGACAUUUUAGCUUUAACUCUGAAUCUGCUUUUCUUACUUUGACGGAGUUGACCUUCAAUAUUAUUGUACUUUCAUUUUUACAGCUCUUUACAUAUUCUGUAAAAAAGCUUAAAAGUGAAACAAAAAUUUUUUAACCAUUAAAAAUUGUACUGCCCAACUUUCUUCAUUUUUUAAGUUCAUUCAAGACUUUAGAAGAUAUUUUUUCCCCCAGUGUAAACUUUAAUCAACAAUUUACCAAGGGAGUUCAUAGAAAUUUUUUUUUCUAUUUUUUGUUUUUCACAAGAGGAAAUGUUUUGGCUCUUUUUAUUAUUCUUAUCUUAUUCCUUUAGAUAUAAUGCUUCUUUUCACCUUGAGGAGCUAAUAUAAAAUUAAUUUAUUGUAGAGAACUCUUAUUGUUGUAACAGCUGAUAAUAUGAAUACAUAUUUACCCACAUUACUAGAAAGAAGGCUUCACAAGGGUUGGCAGGGGACUGGUGGCGCUUGAACAACAGGAAUUAAGGGAGAGAUUUGAACUUGUAUGUGAUUGAUCUUUGUGUUUUAAAUAAGAAUUAAACAAGAAUUUUAUGCUUAUGUAACCAGUACUUGAAGCAAGUUUUACUACAUUUUGUUCAUAUGUCAAAUUGAAUAAUCCGGUCAGAAACCCAGGGUACCGAUUCUUCUUGUCAGCAAUACUUUGAAAGUAGGGAUUUAUUGAGACUUCUUUUAUUGCCUCAGCUUUAUUACUUUUGCAAAAUAUGUGAUGGGUAUUAAGCUUGGAUUUACUAGGGUACUUAAAAAUCUUGUCAAAAUGAAACUGUUUGAAAGUAUUUGUGAGAGGGGUUGCUUUUGCUUUUGGAAUCUUAUUCAUUACUGAAAAUAAAAUAUGCUCAACUUUUUCAUUUUUACAGCAGUCAUUUAUUUUACUGAUUUCAAGCCAAUAGUUAACUUUAGGAAAUGCUUCACAUAUUUUAACUAAUUUUGUGAUUUAGCUUUUUAAAAAUGAGGCACAUUUUCAGCUUUACCCCCUUUUAGAUACCUGAUGUACGUAUUGCUGAAGAUAUGUUGCUCUCUUUGCCAUUGUAAAUUCCGUUGAAAGAUCAAUUUCUUUUUUCUACCACUUUGUUGUUCAGAUUUUGGAAUUUCAAGAGGGUUUGUUGUCAACUUUAAUGUACCUUUUGAGAAAUAAAAAUUGAGUCUCACAUUUCUUGCCUGUGUGUGCCCCUUGAGCUGGAAUGCUUUUCUUUGGCCAACUGAAAGAGGAGCCUGCUCCUUCUCUCACAGAUUAAAUCUGGUUUCUCUCGUUUUAAAUUCAUUUGGUUCAUGCCAAAAAAAAAAAAAAAAAAGAAGUACCCUCUCCCUCCCUCCCUCCCCGCCCCUCUCUUUAAAUUUUAAACAAUCACAAUCUAUAGUCUUGCUGUAGUCUUUGGGAGCUUCGAGUGUUCAGCUAUUUUUUGACUGUGUGUUUGGUUAAUGUGAUAGAGAGCCUGCAUUCUUCUGGCAUUUGAUUUGUGAUUAUACCUUAUCGCUGUCUACAGAAUUACCCAAACAACAUGAGCAAUCUUGCCAUUUUAGUUUACCUUACUUUUUUUUCAUGUCCUUUAAGCUGGAAUAUAGUUCUUCUAGCUACUUUCUAACAGUGAAAAGAGGGCAUAGGUAGUUGUAGGAAUUUCGUGCAGUUUGCCUCACUCCUGUGCUGACCCGUACCUCAGAACCUUCCCAUUUCACCCAGCACAAGAACCUAGUUAUGUAGUUGGACAGAAUCAUGAACAUGAGCAUCCUUGGGACAAAUAAUCAGCAUAUGUGGAAUCAUUUCAUAGGUUUGAGGCUGUGCUUCUCGAUUUUUCCUUGAGCUCUUACAAUCUGCCAAGUUUUAUGCCAAGUUUGUUACAUAUAUUGAUUUGUGGCUCACAACACCAUGUCUGGAUUAUAAUCACUCUGUCCUCAUUUGGCAGAUGAGGAAACUGCAAAGAGGUGGAAGUAGAAGGCCAUCCCUUUACUUCCUGGCAGAGUUGGGAUUUGAAGUUGGGUUCUCUGAUUUGGAUAUCUGACUUCAGAUCAGGGAUCUGAAGCCUUGUUUUACAGGUUGAGUCACUGACUGGGAAGUUAUUGUUACAGAGUCCUUAGGAAGGGCCACUAAGGGACCUGGGCUCACAGCAUUUGUGGACUUGACUGUUCAAAGAAAACUGCAGUGUCCACAGGCCUUUCUGCCCUAACACAUACAAAAGAGGAAAAUUGCUUUUCCUCUCAUGAGCCUCUCUCUUGUCUGAUCUGUGAAACAAAUAUUAUUUUAAGUGGACCACAUAUCUCUCAUAUAUAUAUUUAAUAUUUUUUUAGUUGUAGAUGGACACAACAUCUUUAUUUUUAUUUGUUUAUUUUUAUGUGGUCCUGGGGAUCGAACCCAGGGCCUCACAUGUGCGAGAUAAGUGCUCUACCACUGAGCUACAACCCUAGCCCAUAGGUAGAUAUUUUUAAAUUUAAAAGAACUAUAGAUUGCUCAGGAAGGGAUGAAGAUGUCAUGGAGAAGGGCUGUGCUCCCUUCACCCAGUUCCCUCCAGUGGUUACCCAACAGGUGACUGCCCUGGCAGACCAGACCACUGACUUUGGUAUAAAGUGUAUAUACAGUUCUGGUCAUUUUACCACUACUGAAGAUCUGGUGACCACUACUGAAGCCAAGGUGCAGGGCUGUUCUGUCACCACUACCUUUCGCGAGCCAUCCAUGGGCUGUGUGUGUGAGCUAUGUGCAUUGGAGCUAUAUGGGGGGACAGGCCUGGCCUUGCACGCUGGUUGGGCUGUGCGAAGCAAGUGCGCCUCUCCUCUUGCUCUGCCAGUGAUCCCACACAGCACCUGAGAUGGGUGUGACUUGCCAAGAUGUCAAUCAAUCUGCUGACCACAAGACAUCACGAAGUAAGACUCCACCUUUGAAACCUAUCCCCUACCAUAUUUGGUGAAGAAGAUCCCAUGGAAUCUCCUUGUGUGUCCUUCCUAUAAAAAUAAAGAGAUUACAGGUGCACGCUCUCUUUUUCCAGUGCCUUUCAGUGUGGAAGCUGACACUUAAGGUCACAGAGCUAUCCUACCCUUGACUUGAAAACUACUUCUGUGUUGGUGAUUUCUCACCAUUUUCUAAGCUUAAUGUUGUAGCUGGCUCUUUUGAACCCAGCUCAUCUCCUCUGUGCCGGUAGCUGGUGAGAACUACCCAUUCACUGCCACCCCACACACCUCGCCUCUGGCAGCCACUGACUCCAACUUCAUCAUUCUGUCAUCUCAGAUCUCUCCUUUAAAAAAUAACUGCUUUUCAGGGGCUGCGGAUAUAGCUUAGUUGGUACAGUGCUUGCCUCACAUGCAUAAGGCCCUGGGUUCAAUCCCCAGCACCACAAAAAAUAAAUAAAUAAAAAAUAACUGCUUUUCUUUUAUUAUGAAAUAUCUCAGUCAGAAGAGUACAGGGAAAACUGUAACAAUACUUAUGUAAUAUUACCACACAGAUUUCAUAAAUCAUGACAAUUAAUAAAUGCUGUUAUAUGUCCUUCACAGAUUCAUUUUAAGGCCUCUGUCCAACUCUCUGAUCCUACUGAUCCCCCAUGUUCCCCAGAGACAAAUCCUCUCCCAGAGUUUUUGGAUACCUUCCUGUCCGGGUUUUCAUCUUUUACCACAUCACUAGGCGUCUAUAAACACUAGAUAGUGCAGCUUUGUUAAGUUCAAAAUUUUGUAUAAAUAAGCAACAAAUAUUCACGUGAGACCUACUAUGUGAUAGACUCCACUCCUGACCUUGGAAUGUGGUGAAUAAGGCAAAACCCAUGUCCUAAAUAUACAGAUAUAUGAAUAAAGGUAGAUUUCUGUGUCUGGGUGAACAUGAUGAAAUAGGAUAUUGUGGUUCAGGUUGGCAAGGGAGAUGGGGACAAGACAGGUAUGGCAGGGUACUGAGGAAGGGCCUUGCUCAAGAUACUGUUUCAAAUCAAAUCUAAAUGAUAAGAAGGAACAGCAAGUGUUGGUGCCCUAACACAGAAACGAUCUGGGUGUACUCAGGGAAGAGGGUGGUGUGGCCGCAGCAGUGUGGAGACCAGGGAGGUGGCAGGAGGUGAGGUCAGAGGGGUAGAGUGUGCCAGAAGGAAUGGCUGAAGAGGCAGCACUAAGCAAUUUGGAUCUUAUUAUGUGACUGCAGAGGGAAGCCAAUGAAAGGUUUAAACCGGGAUGUGGCAUAGUUGUGGCACGGAGGAUGGCAUGCAAAGGGUUUAGAAUGGGGUAUAGGAAGAGACUAUUUCAGUUCUCCAGGGGAGAGAGAUCAACAGGGGACGAUGGGUAAUGCUUUCUCUUGAAGUGAAAAUCUGGUCCAUCACCUUAUCUUCCUGCAAUUUGCCUAAGACUUACUUAGGUUGAUACCUUUAGAUAAAGCUCAUUCAUUUAAAUUGCUAUGUAAAUUUCAAUCUGUAAGUAUAUAACUUAAAAUCUAUUCGUUCUCUUAUUAGUAGAUGUUAAAGUUUGUCUUUUUGCUCCUAUACACAGUUCUACCUAAAAAUCUCUUUAUUAUAUAUAGAUCCUGUGGAUAGAUCUAAGAGUUUCUCUGGGGUAGACAUCUGGCCAUUGAACUGCAGAGGUCUUUUCAACAUGCUGCUUGUCGACUUUGCCGGAGAGUUCAAAAUUGUUCUCCAAGAGAGGUUGUUCCAAUUUAUAAGUCCCUAGCUAUACGUGAGAAUUUCCAUUGCUUGCCUCCUCAAUAGUUAGAAUAUGAUUUUUAACCAUUACCAUUCUGAUGGAUACAAAAUCAUAUGUCAUUGUUAUAAUUUGCAUUUCCUGGUUACUACUUACUUUUUUUUUUGAAUCCCUUUAUAUUUCUUUCCUGAGAAUUUCUUCUUCUUAUACUCUGUCUACUCUCCUGUCAAACUAUUUUUUUUCUUAUUGAGUUGUGUGAAUUUAUAUAUUCUGGACAAUAAUCCUUUGUUGGAUUUUAUGCAUUGAUAUAUGUAUUGAAAAAAAAACACUGUUGAAGUUUAUGAGCUGAAAUAUUUCCUUCUAAUUUUUAGCUUAUCUUUCACUUUUUAAAAUGAUGGUUUUCAUUAAAAAUUUCACUGUGGUCAGAUUUACCAGUGUUAUUCUUUAGGUGUUUUCCUACCCUGAGGCCAUAAUAGUAUUUAGAUUUUGCUUUUCUUUCUUUUUUUUUAAAUUGACCUAGAAAAUACUUUUGCAAAUGAGUUGGAGUAUAGACUUUAUUUAUUUUUUUGUUUUUUUGCUUUUCCAAGUGGAAAACUAACUGGCCCAAUGCCAUUUAUUGAAUGGUGUUAUCCUUUUCCUACUGAUUUUCACUGUUAUCUCUGUUCAUGGAUCAAGUCUUACCAUAAGCAUGUGUCUGUUUAUGGCUCUUUAUUCUGUUCUGCUGUUGCAUUUGUCUGUCUCCACGCCAGUGCCAUUCUUUUGUAAUUACUGUAGCUUUAUAAUAAGCUUGUUAUUCAGUGUGCUGAAUUGUCUUUGUUCUUCCAUGUCAUCUUGGUUAUUGUUGUUUCUUUACUUUUUGAUAUUAACUUAAGGAUUAAUAUCAUUGUCAAUGCCACCGGGGGCAAACAUAUAUGUUUUAAUUGUAUUUGAAAUAGAUCUUUAGAUUCAUUUGGGAAGAAUUGCCAUCUUUGAGCCUUCCCAUUCCAUGCAUGAACAUGGUAUAGCCUUUCAUUUUUGGAUCUUUUUAAAAAUUUUUUUAUAGUAGAUGGACAUAAUACCUUUAUUUUAUUUUUAUGUGGUGCUGAGGAUUGAACCCAGUGCCUCACAUGUGCUAGGCAAGUGCCCUACCAACUGAUCUAUAACCCCAGCCCUCAUUUUUGGAUCUUUUAUGUGCUUCAAUGAAGUUUCAUUCCAUAAAUGACCUUAUAUUUCCUUUGUUAGAUCUUUUUAUAAGUUCCUGAAAGUUUUUGUUGCUAUUGUUAAUGGAAUCUUUUUUUAAAAAAAAUUAUAUCUUAUCAUUUUUUCUGCUGGUAUACAGGAUCACUAUUGACUUUGAGAUAUUCAUUUGUACCAAGAAACCUUGCUGAAGUCUGAUAGUAGAAGAGUCCUUGGAGAUACACACACACACACACACACACAUAUAUCUUUUCACAGUCACAUGGCCUGCACAUAACUUAGUUUUCCCCAAGUUCCAGCAUUUAGAUAAUUUCUUUAAGCUCCUUCCAAACUCUUGGAUCCAUGAUUCUAUUUUUUUUUUUUUUGGUACUGGUGAUUGAACUCAGGGCCACUCAACCACUGAACCACAUCCCCAGCCCUAUUUUUAUUUAGAGACAGGGUGUCACUGAGUUGCUUAGUACCUUGCUGUUGCUGAGGCUGGCUUUGAACUUGUGAUCCUUCUGCCUCAGCCUCCCAAGCCACUGGGAUUACAGGUGUGCAUCACUGUGCCUGGCUAUGAUUCUAUUUUGUAUGUGUGUGUGUGUGUGUGUGUGUGUAAGAAUUAAUUACGAAUUCUUUUUUUUUAAAUUUAUUUUAGUUGUCAAUAGACUUUUAUUGAUUUAAAUGUGGUGCUGAAAAUCAAACCCAGCGCUUGCUAGGCAAGCGCUCUACCACUGAGCCACAACCCCAGCCCCAAGAAUUACUCAUUCUUGGUACCUUGUAUUGUAUCUUGUACUGCAAUUUUUCUUUAUUCUUGCUUCCUAUUGCCUUCUCUAUUAUUUUUACUAGGAUAUUUUCAUAAAAUAUCCUAUGUCAUAUAUGUUAUAUGUAUGUUAUAUAUAUAUAUGUAUAUAUAUAAUUAAUAUAUAUAUAUAAUGAUAAAAAUGAAAAUCUUUAAGCGAUUAGAUGCCCUUCAUCACUUGGUGAUGACUAUCAGCAUGUGACUAUAGAAUCAUUGACAGCAUGUGACUCUAGACUGAAACACAUACUAGAUCUGAUAAAGAUUGGGCCAAGAAGAGAUGAGAGAUAGGAAAAGAAAACUGUCACUCCUCAGUAUUGGUAGCAUGCACACUUAUACAAACACACACAUCAUAUGGUGCAACCAAUGGUGUGUAUGUUUAAAAUCAUUUGUUACACAAUAUAUUGUUAUGAAAGCAUGCUCUUACAAAUGAAAAACCCAUGAAAUGAAUUCAAUUUCUACUGAAGUUUCAAAGGUAUGUGACAUAUCUAUAAGAGGAAUGACAUAUCUAUAAGAGGAAUCAUCUCUUCUUAGAUAAACCCUCCAGACAAGGACAAGUUCAAGUCUGGGUGUUCCUAGGAUGAUAGCCAGGCUAGUUCUGCAGGAUGGUUUGUAGCCCAAUGCCCCGUUGCUGCUCAGCUCCCAGGAAGGACUUGCCUGCCUCGGAGCCCUGCAUUCUAAGAGGCUUGCCUUGAUGCUCUAUGGGUGGUGGUGAAGGAAGGGUCACCACAAGCCUGUGAACUCAUACAACUCAUAGCCAGUUUGUCACCUGGGCUUCUGCCAUCUUUGCCGCUUUCUGGGUGAAACAGCAAAGGAGAAGGGCCUGUUCCUCUUGGCAAGCUUCCUGAAGGGCCUGGCCUGUUGAAUCUGUUGGGCCUGCUUUUUUGGGUUGUCCAAACCUCCAUGGAACGAGGUCUAGUCAGGAUGUGGUCUGAGCUGAGAGGCAGUUACAAGACUGUUUAGUUCACUGCCACCGAAUCUACUUGGUCAGAGACCAAGUCAUAGCUGUUCUCCAAAGCACUGAGAGUAAACACUGCCUCCUAUUUUUAGUAGUUCAUUGCUUGCAAAAAUAGCUCGAAAUCCAGACCUUGGAGUCUCAGCGGCCUUUAGCUUAACAGACCAUCCCUGUGGUAACAACAACCUCAUCAACAACAAUAAUCACCACUGACAGUUACUUGGGGUCACCAUAUGUAAGGUGUUGUGCUAAGUAUUCUGUAUGCAUUGCCUGGUUUAAUCCUCACACGGCUAGUCAUUGUUAUUAUUCCUUUUGUUUUUAGAUGGGAAAACCAAGACUCAGAAAGUUUAGGCCACGUGUCCCAAGUCACAUAGCCCUUCAGAAGGCAGAGUCUAGGCCUGAGUCUAAAUUAUCUUAGCUUGACACCACAAUUCAUGGGUUUAGCCACUUCUCUUUCCCACCUUUCUAUGUUCCAGAAUGACACUGGUGAUGGAAUGUUUAUUAUAUGGGACCUGGCCUAUUUCCUCAAAGAACCUUAACUGGCAAAUUGAACUCAAGUUAAAUAAUUAAGAAAUUUUGUGUUUCUUACUGGUUUUAUUUGUUUAUUGUUAAAUCAUUGGAUUUACAAAUGAUCUUGUUCUUCCCAUCACGUUCCCUUUUUACAUAGAAACUCAAAGACAUUUUGCCAACACAGUAUUAUUUGGGGGGUAAAUGCUUGACAAUUUAAAGGAUGCCCAACAACUGUGAGGCACACAGUCUUUAGAUGACCAAUAAAACCAUCAGAGUAUGAGCAAGCUCCAGGAGUGGAAGCAGGGGCUGCCUCUUCCUUGCUGAUUGCUCUAGCAGAAAAAUCAGGUUCAGGAUCCUGUGUUUACUGAGAUGAUUGGCACACAUUAUGAGAGUAAUUGUACCUGGAGAAUUUCUGACUUAAAUCUUGAUUUGGUGUCUGUGUGAUUCCCAAAUAAAAACACAUGGAAUACCCAGCUGGAGACAUGUAUUUAUUUCUAAUUUGACAUUGCUAAGAGGGACCAUGGUGGUACUGUCCAUUUCCUGGUGAGUCCACAUUGGGUACGUGAGUGUAUAAACAUUUCUGUCAUUUUGUGGCAAGGUGGGGUGUUAGGAGGUGGGCUCACAGAAUACCUUCACCAGGAGCUGGCCUCAAAAGGGGCCUCAGGGGGCUGUACCUGUGCAAGAAGGGGGCUGUCACUUUCCAAACACAUUCUUUUCUGACUCUUCUUCUGAACUCAUAGAUUCUCCAAAAACAAAACAAAAGAAAAUUGAAACUUUUUGAAGUUAUUUCUCUAAUGGUGGUGGUGGGGGGAAAUGUGGAAAAUAGAUGCUGUUCUUUUUUUUUUUUUUUAAGAGAGAGAGAGACAGAGAGUUUUUUAAUAUUUAUUUUUUAGUGUUCGGCAGACACAACAUCUUUGUUUGUAUGUGGUGCUGAGGAUCGAACCCGGGCCCCACGCAUGCCAGGCGAGUGCGCUACCGCUUGAGCCACAUCCCCAGCCCUAGAUGCUGUUCUUUCAUGGAUAAAUGAAGUAUAAAUUAAGAGUGGGGAAAUGCUUGAAAGUUGGUAUUCCGAUAAUCUGCAUUCUUAUUCUCUUGACCAAAAAAGUGAUUUAUUUUAUCUUAAUCUAAUAGUCGUAUGCUCAAAAGAUUUUAUUAAUCACCUGCAAAAAUCAACUAUAAUAGCUACAAAUAAAGUUUUUCUGUCAGACAUAGAAACUUAUAGGUACAGUUAGGAUUACCAAAUAUACCUGAACUCAGUGUUUUUUGUUUUUUUUUUAAAUUUUUUAUUGUUGGCUGUUCAAAACAUUACAUAGUUCUUGAUAUAUCAUAUUUCACAAUUUGAUUCAAGUGGGUCAUGAGCUCCCAUUUUUACCCCAUAUACAGAUUGCAGAAUCACAUCAGUUACACAUCCAUUGAUUUACAUAUUGCCAUACUAGUGUCUGUUGUAUUCUGCUGCCUUUCCUAUCCUCUACUAUCCCCCCUCCCCUCCCCUCCCCUCCCCUCCCCUCUUCUCUCUCUGCCCACUCUACUGACAUUCGUUUGUCCCCCUUAUAUUAUUUUUCCCCUUCCCCUCACUUCCUCUUGUAUGUACUUUUGUAUAACUCUGAGGGUCUCCUUCCAUUUCCAUGCAUUUUCCCUUCUCUCUCCCUUUCCCUCCCACCUCUCAUCCCUGUUUAAUGUUAAUCUUCUUCUCAUGCUCUUCGACCCUACUCUGUUCUUAGUUACUCUCCUUAUAUCAAAGAAGACAUUUGGCAUUUGUUUUUUAGGGAUUGGCUAGCUUCACUUAGCAUAAUCUGCUCUAAUGCCAUCCAUUUCCCUGUAAAUUCUAUGAUUUUGUCAUUUUUUAAUGCAGAGUAAUACUCCAUUGUGUAUAAAUGCCACAUUUUCUUUAUCCAUUCAUCCAUUGAAGGGCAUCUAGGUUGGUUCCACAGUCUAGCUAUUGUGAAUUGUGCUGCUAUGAACAUCGAUGUAGCAGUGUCCCUGUAACAUGCUCUUUUUAGGUCUUUAGGGAAUAGACCGAGAAGGGGAAUAGCUGGGUCAAAUGGUGGCUCCAUUCCCAGCUUUCCAAGAAAUCUCCAUACUGCUUUCCAAAUUGGCUGCACCAAUUUGCAGUCCCACCAGCAAUGUACAAGUGUACCCUUUUCCCCACAUCCUCGCCAGCACUUGUUGUUGUUUGACUUCAUAAUGGCUGCCAAUCUUACUGGAGUGAGAUGGUAUCUUAGGGUGGUUUUGAUUUGCAUUUCUCUGACUGCUAGAGAUGGUGAGCAUUUUUUCAUGUACUUGUUGAUUGAUUGUAUGUCCUCCUCUGAGAAGUGUCUGUUCAGGUCCUUGGCCCAUUUGUUGAUUGGGUUGUUUGUUCUCUUAUUGUCUAAUUUUUUGAUGAACUCAGUGUUUUAAGAAAAAAACUGUAGCAAGUAUUUUAGAAAGUUAGGCUUACAUUUUUAAAAUGUUUGGUUACCCAUUAACAUAACCAUAACUGGGUAAGUUCAGAAUCUUUGCAUGUUGGACUUUUUUUUUUUUUUAGGUUGAUUUCUUACAUACACAGAGUAAAAUAUUUAUGAAACAAUCAGCCAUGCCCUUACGCCCUCCCUAUCUGCCAAUGGUCUUGGUGAUGUUAAAGACUUAUUUUAAGUUAUCUUACUAUUAAUUUAACAUUAUAAUUAUAAUACAUUUCAAAUACACAAAAAUAACAGAAUAAUAAGCAUCAAAUGCUACCAUUACCCAAGUUUAACAAGGAUGAUUGUUAUGGCAUUAUUUCUUAAAAUUUCUUAUUUGAAGUUAAUUAAUUAAUUACUACAAUUAAUUUUUAAAUUAUAGUUGGACACAAUACCUUUAUUUUAUUCAUUUAUUUUUAUGUGGUGCUGAGGAUCGAACCCAGGGCCUUGCACAUGGUAGGUGAGCACUCUACCACUGAGCCCCAGCCCCAGCCCUAUGGCAUUGUUUUUAAUAGUCUCUUGAAUGAUCAGGUUUCCAAGUGACGAUUAGAGUAUGCAAUCAACUUAGGUAGGAUCAAAAAUUAUCCCAAAUAUAUCAUCUAUUGUUUAUGGAUACAUAUACUUCUUAAGAGGGGAGGAUACUCAGCCACUUUUGAAGAUUCAUUAUCUGUUGGGAAUUGGAAGGAUGAGACCAGGGCUUCAACCCUAUCAGUGAUGCUUUAAAAAAAAAAAAUCAUCUGAAGUGAAUAGGGAAAAUGUUAACACUCGUUGAUUUCGUUGAUUCUUGGAGGUUUUAGUUAUAACACAUAUGGUGAGAUAAUCUGACUCUUCAACAAGAAACUGGCACCUCAGAAAUGUAUCCCCCCCCCCGCACUCCUGGCACACUUAUAAUUAAUGCAAAUAGAUUGUAUGCAGUGAUCAUAGGUGGAUGCCUUUUGCAUAUAUAUCUGUUUAUGAAUAUCAUAUGAUCCAGAGAACAGGGGCCAAGGGAAUGUACUUCAAAUUGCCUUGCUCCUAAUUUUAUUCUGAUUGUCUGAUGCUCUUCUUAGGGAUGGUAGAGGUAGAAUUCAUAACAACCACCAUUGUCAUAGGUGACAUUUGCUGAAUGCUUUAUAACAUGUCUUGUCACUUGCCAAGCAUUUUAUAUGAGAUAUUAGUUGGGAUAUAGUUUCAUCUGCUGUAACAGAGGCUCAAACUAAUAGUGGCUUUCGCAUGGUAAAAUUUUAUUUCUCAUUCAUACAAGAGUCUGAACAUAAGCAAUCCAUGUCUGAUCUGAUGGCUUCAGAUCCAAGCUCCUUUUCUCUUGUUGCUUGCCACUCCAGGGCAUUGUCCUUAUACUCAUGGCCCAAGAUGGCUCCUGGCUCUCCAUUUCAACCUCUAAUUGUUGCUCAUAUUUCACUGGCGAGAAUUGAAUCACAUGAGCAUAUCUGGCUGCAAGAGAAGCUGGAAAAUUUAGUCUUUGCUCUGUGUAGCCAUGUAUGGCAGCUAUAAAAAUUUAGGUUUCUAUUCUUAUAGAAGGAGAGGAGAUGGAUAUUGGGGACUAUUGGAAGUCUGUGCUGCAAGUGAAUAGCUUCUGCUUAUUCUCACAACACUAGGAGUCCAGCACAAAUAACCCCAUUCAAUACACGAGAAAAAGAAAGAUAAAGUUACCUGCCGAUGGUCACACAAUGAGUUCUUUCUGAAGCUGCUGGAUGUGACUUUAUUGUAGUUCCUUUUUGCAUUUGCAUCUAGUUUGCUGGACUCUAAUACUAGGAUCAGGGCUGAGAAUCCUUGGCCUCCUGGAGAUUGCCACAGCUCAUCAGUGCUUGAUUUCAUCACACUAUUUAUUUAAAAGAGUCUCCCAUGAAGGUGCUUUGUGGCAUGUCCUCAUGUUCUUUAGAGUUGAAAGCAAGCACACAUUUAAUUUUGAUCAAAGAAUUCUAUGACACUCAUUGAGCAAUGGUUAUUCCAUUUGGAUGUUGCCUAAUUAGACCUGGGGACCUAGACCAGGGAAAUGUCACUCUUUAGUUUGAUUCAGAUUAUACCUGGCUUCUUGGUUAGGCUAGAAAAUGUGUCCCCCCAAAAUCUUCUUAAUAAGAAGGAAAUAGCUUACCAAAAUAUGCAUCCUUUUUUUUGAGACUACUGUUGAAGGCCAUAGACUAUCUUCUAAAAAUGAAAUAGAAGGUGGCAGAUUUUCUAGAAAGAAUUUUAUUUUAAAGAGAAAAAAAAGUAGUAUUCAAACCAGAUGUUGCUUUUGUACAUCAUCCAACAACUGGCAUCUUCCACACAACAAAAUUUGGCAAGAGGGUGACCCUUUCUUCUACCCAGAUUACAAUUUCCAACAGAUGGCAUGUGCUGAAAACAAAAUUUGAAAAGGGAAACCUGGUUCCUGAAAGUUCACAUAUAACGUUUUUCAAGCUCACGCCAGAUCAAAUGAACACACCCCAGGAAAGACACACAGCCAUACCUGCUGUAGAUCUCUGCCUUUGGAAAUGUUAGAAGUAGAAGUCUUUGCAGGGUUCAGGAGGGUCAGGAUUAGGGGGAGGCCAGUGGGGCAUGCGCUUCUGGCAGAAGAAUCCACAAGGAUGCCAAGACCCUCUGUAGUUGAAACAAACACUAACAAUGCAAUAUUUUAAAAAAUGAAAAUAAGUGCAAAAUAAUCCACGAUGGACAAACAUCAACGUUUUAAAUAAAGGCAGGCAGUUAUUUCUGUUUGUUUUACCACCCUGCCUUGUUGUGCCAUGGGAGCAACCAUUUCCAAUCAGGCCCAGGCUCCUGGCCCCCAAGAGGCCCCCCUCCAUGUGGUGUGGGUUUAUGAGAGUUGACAAUUACGUGAACAGAUUGGAUCAUGUGUGGUUUUAUACAUACCUGGGUCUUUUGUUUGUAGAGCCUUUAUUAAUUUUUCUCAGUUCAAAAUACAGGAGGUUAUUUCUAUGAGUAUAAAUAGGAGUACACAUUUUUCUUUUGCCUCAGUAAAAAUAUGUCUUAUGUCUCCAUAAGGCUCAGUUCAAGAUUUCUGGAGAACCGGGGAUAUAGUGCAGUGGUAGAACAUUUGCCUAACACGUGCCAGGCCCUUGGAUUCAAUCCCCAAUAGCGCAGAGGGAAAAAAAACAAAAAUUCUGGGAAGUCUGCCUUUCGUUCUAGAUGGGCCACUGCUUAGCUGGGUUCUAAUUCCAGGGCCAUAUCACUUACUGUUCAUGUGAUCUUGGUGCCUCAUCUUUCUCUCUGUAAAGCUGAAGAUAAUUGUAUUACCUUCUUUAUAUACAUGAGGCACUUGGAACAGGGCCUGGCACCCUGCAAACGUCACAGUAGCCAUGUAGAAUUGUAUAAGCCUUAGCAAAUUUCAGGCUUAUUUCUCACAAUGUCACGUCUUGUUUAAUGAUGUGCCCUCUUCCUUUCAGAAUCAUCUCCUGUCCCAUUUGCAAACAUCCCACACUCCUCGAUGAGAUGCAUUCCACUCUUGAGGACAUGUGGGUUUAAUGGAACCAGGAUAGGCUCUGGAAAGUGACAUCCCUGAACCCCAAACCUUCAGCCUAAUGAGUGAUCCUUUAGGCAGGUUACUAACUUCCCCAAAUCUUUUCUAGAUGAGGAUAAAAACAUCUACCUCCUGGGAGACUCUGUAAGAUCAGAGAUGAAGGAGAGAGCUUUUAUCCAAAGUUUGAUCUGUGAAAGAUGCUCAAUAAAAUUGGUUUGCUUUAAAGCAGUAAUUCAUAACUGCCCCCUAGGGAUUUGUGUGAAUCUCCAGUGGAAUCUUCAAACAUGUUGUCUACUAUAUUUUAUUAAUUUUAACAUACCCAUACAAGUUUUUAAAUGUUGGUUUUCCAAUUUUAGCACACACAAGAAUCAUGCAGAGUUAGGGUAACCAACUCAUUUUAGGGUGCCCUGCAUUUUCCAGGUUUAGCCCUGAAAAUCCUUGCCCGAGGGCAUUUGAUUACCUGGGCAGUUGAUUACAUUUCCUGGAGGGUUUGUGCAAACACAGAUUUCUGGGCCCCCACCUCCAGAGAUUCUCAUUCAGAGGGUUUGAUUUGGAGUGCAGCCUGAAAAUUUGCAUUUUAAACAAAGCUCCCAGGUACUUCAGCCAGUUCGAGACUACACUGCCAUGGAUCAAAUGUGUGUGUCCCUCCAAAAUUCAUACGUUGGAGAACACGAAUGAUCACAUAAAGACCUUUUUGGGAGUGAUAAGUCAUGCGCCAUUUUAUCAAAGAGGUUGAAGGGAGCACACUAGGUCUUUAUUGCCCUUCCACCUCUUCUUUCCUGUGAAGACACAGCAUUUGUCCCUCUUUCCCCUCCACCAUGCAAGGACCAUCCCUGAAGCAGAGAACAGGCCUUUACCAAAUCUUCUGGUACCUUGAUCAUAAACUUCCCAGCCUCCAAAAGUGUAAGCAAUACAUUUCUGUUGUUUAUAAAAUUACUUAAUCUAAGAUAUUUUGUUAUAGCAGCAGGAAUAGACUAAGACACAUUGUCAGAAUACUUUCACCCUCUCACACUAAUGUCCAGUCUUGCUCAAUAAGUGUUGGUUUACAUUAAAGCACUAAUUUAUAACUGUGCUAUAGGGAUUUGUGUUCCAUUUUGAAAGAUGAAGAACUCUACAGAAUUUCUCAUGGCCCUGGGACGUUGGUGUUACCACCUCCAUUUUGUAGAAAAGAAAACGGAGACUUAGGAGGGAUUUAGUAAUUCACUUGAAGACACAUAGCCAGGAAGUGACCCAGUCUCAGGUCUGACACCACAACAGUUUUCCUCAACAUUCUCUCCUUAGACCACAGGUAUCAGGGCUCAGUUCUCUUCCUUGGUCUGGAGGUACCCUAGUCCCCCAAGGCAGAUGGGCUUCUGGCCCAUCAUUACCACAGAUCUACAGUGGACAGAGCAGAGACUCAAAUGGGACUGCUGCUAUGCAAAUUUUGCUUGCACAUACCAUUUCUAAUUAAGCCACAAACUCAUAUCAAGACAUGAUUUUUGCUUUGCAGAUUGUAUUAUCUCAAUAGAUUUUACACCAUCAGACAUAGAAGCCAGAGCUACUGAAUUACCUACCAAAAAAUUAUCUUUAAAAAAUCCUCUUUCAUUAUAGUGCGGUUCUUGGCUGCCCUAAGUCAUAAUUUAUUUUGAUUCUGUUUUAGCACAGCUUUACUCAAUUUCUGCAGUCCCCAAAAUGCAGCCCUGCCAAAUGAAUGUAGGGAUAAAACCAAUCUAAGAUUUUAUUAAAUUUUGUUCCAGUGAUCAAUACUAUUAUGGGUAAAUUGGGUCAGGCUUGCUUUGAUAUUUGGUUUAUAUUGAUCUUUUCUCUUUUUCAUUUUUCACAAAGGAGGCCUAGGUCAGCUGGUCUUUUUGUUUUCCUCAAAAGCCUUUCCUCUGCUCAGAGAAGUGGUCAUUUGGAUCUUGGCCCCCAUCAGCUCGUUCUAUUUUUGACUAAACACCCAGUCAGGCCUUGUCAUUCCUGGGAUUGCAGCUUUGCCACGAGGCCCCGGGGAAUGUUGUCCUUAGAUACUGUGAGAUACUAGAAGGACCCUGGGAGCAAUACCUACCUCAUGGGGUUCUGAAGCAAAAUGAGGAGACAUGUCUAGAAUGUUGAACAUGGCACCUGUGCCUAUGGUGGAUGCACAACCAAACCCUGCUCGUUCUACAUUCAAAAAGCUCUCCGAUCUGCCAUUUUCCCUUCACCUUCCCUCCCAAUUCAGGGGCUCUGCACUGUGAUUUCCUGCCUGAAAUCCAACCCCACUCCCAGUGUAGGUUAAUCACCAUGUUGUAUUUUAUGGUACUAUGUGACUCUCUUUUGAGGUACCAACCAUGGUAGCAUUAUACAUGUUUUUUCCCUGUGGUUAUUUUAUGACUUUCUUCUUCCUUGACCAGACUGCCUGUGGCGCGGGCUCUUAGGAGCCACUCAGACCAGCCUUCACAUUGAAUGCUGUUAUUGUCCCAGCUGCAAGAAGUGUGGCUUUCAGCUGCUAGCCCCUGGCAUGGCUUCAGCGGAAGACAGACGCCCUGCCCAAGUCCACGGCCCUUCCAGUGACUGAUCUACACGGCAGUGCGAAGGCCUGGUUUUCUCACACACUGGGCACAACUCUGAAAGGUCACCAUCUUUAGAACUCCUUGUGGGAAUGGCCUAGUCUCCCUUUGAGUUGGUUUUAUAUUUUGACUUGGCCCUCUGUCCUUCCCUUCUUCCAUGGGUGUUGAUCUCAAGCCCACUCCUUAAGGCAACUGCUGCAUUCUAAGCUAUCUCAGAGUUGGCCUCCUGGGAGCUCAUGGCAGGGUACCCUCAAUAAAGGGAAGAAAUGA